GACAGAGGGUGCAAACGUUGCUCGGAAUUACUGGGCGUAAAGCGCGUGUAGGUGGAUUGGUGUGUCAGAUGUGAAAGCCCUGGGCUCAACCCAGGAACUGCACCUGAAACUACCAGUCUUGAGUGGUGGAGAGGGAAGUGGAAUUCCCCAAGUAGAGGUGAAAUUCGUAGAUAUGGGGAGGAACACCGGUGGCGAAGGCGGCCAUCUGGCUGGUAACUGACGCUGAGACGCGAAAGCGUGGGUAGCAAACAGG
rnacentral:rRNA from 1 species